GGCGAACGCUAGCGGCGUGCCUAACACAUGCAAGUCGCACGAGAAAAGCGCUUCGGUGCUUAGUAAAGUGGCGCACGGGAGUGUCACACGUGACUUAUCUACCACUGAGGGGGGCAUAACCUCGGGAAACCGGGGCAAAUACCGCAAAACACUUAGGACUCAAAGCAACAAUGCGCAUAGAGAGGAGGUCGCGGAAGAAUAGCGAGUGGGUGGGGUAAUGGCCUGGCAAGGAGGUGAGCUGGAUCCGGCGUGAUAGGGCGAACGGACACACUGGAACUGAAACACGGUCCAGACUCCAACGGGAGGCAGCAGUGAGGAAUUUUGCGCAGUGGGGGAAACCCUGACGGAGCAACGCCGCGUGGAGGAUGAAGUCCCUUGGGACGUAAACUCCUUUCGACCCGGACGAAUAAUGACGGUACGGGUGGAAGAAGCCCUGGCUAACUUCGUGCCAGCCGCCGCCGUAAAAC
rnacentral:rRNA from 1 species